UUUUUUUUUUUUUUUUUUUUUUUUUUUUUUGUCUUUUUUGGGACCGCACCCAUGGCAUAGGCAGGUUCCCAGGCUAGGGGUUCAAUCAGAGCUGUAGCUGUCGGCCUACACCACAGCCACACCAAUGUGGGAUCUGAGCCUCCUCUGCAACCUACACCACAGCUUAUGGCAACGCCAGAUCCUUAACCCACUGAGCGAGGCCAGGGAUCAAACCAAUGUCCUCAUGGAUACUAGUCGGGUUCGUUAACCACUGAGUCACGUUGGGAACUCCCGCCAUCUAGAAAUUCUUUUUUUUUUUCUUUCUUUCUUUUUUUUUUUUUUUUUUUUUUUUUGUCUUUUCUAGGGCUGCUCCCAUGGCAUAUGAAGUUCCCAGGCUAGGGGUCAAACUGGAGCUGCAGCUGCCAGCCUGCACCACGGCCACAGCCACACCAGAUCCAAAUUACAUCCGCGACCUACACCGCAGCUUGUGCAAUGCUGGAUCCUUCCCCCACUAAGUGAGGCCAGGGAUCAAACCCACAUCUUCACGGACACUGUGCUGGGUUCUUAACGCACUGAACCACAACGGGAACUCCAAAGCUAUUUUUAAAGUAUAGGUCGAGAAAAUACUUCUGUGUCAUUUUCUUUUUUUUGGCCAUGCCCUCCCCCCCAUGCAGAAAUUCCUGGACCAGGGAUUGAACCCCAGUUACAGCAGCAACCAAAGUCACUGCAGUGACACUUGCUGGAUCCUUAGCCCACUGAGCCACAAGAGAUCUCCUGUGUCAUUUUUGGUACAACUAGAUUGUACUUAUCUCUCCAGUACAACACAUGAUCUCUGUUAAAGGGAAUGGGGUUCAAGGACACCAGCAUGUGGUACCUGAUGCCUGGGUGUACGAGGAAAGGAAGAUUAACCCCAGGUAGACCUGUUCACGUGUCUCUUUCUCGACCAUAAGAAAAUGACGCCUUGUUUGGCUAGAGAAUGAGGAUAACUUCUCCCCCUUACCAGCCAAGAGACCUCUUGCGAUCAGUGAGAAUCCAAGGCAAGAGUUAGUCUAGUCCCAGUCAAGUAGCAUGGGCUUUCUCAUCAACUUUGGGCUUCAAUAUAUCUAUUGCUACAUCUGUUUGUUUAAUCCCUUCCUGCAGGGUUGAAGGAAGCGGUACAUCUCAUCUCAAAGUUAAAGCCUACACCUGUGCCCUCCAUCCCACACACACUUUUUUUUUCUUGCUUUUCAAAUAUUUUCCAUUCCCCUGGUCUCUUCUUCCUCUUUAUUUACCUCUCUAAAUAGUUGCAACAUAAAUAAAACCUCCCUAAUUUAUCCUAUUUUGAGUGUUCCAGCUGUUUUUUUUUAU
rnacentral:lncRNA from 1 species